rnacentral:rRNA from 1 species
AUUGAACGCUGGCGGCAGGCCUAACACAUGCAAGUCGGGCGAGCGGCGGACGGGUGAGUAAUGUAUGGGGAUCUGCCUGAUGGAGGGGGAUAACUACUGGAAACGGUAGCUAAUACCGCAUCCCAUAAGAUGAACCCAUAUGGGAUUAGCUUGUAGGUGAGGUAACGGCUCACCUAGGCGACGAUCCCUAGCUGGUCUGAGUUGAUGACCAGCCACACUGGUACUGAGACACGUCCCAGACUCCAACGGGAGGCAGCCGGCGGGAAGAUUGCGCAGGUGAGGCAACCCUGACGCCGCCAUGCCGAGUGAAUGAAGAAGGCCUUCGGGUUGUAAAGGUCUUUCGGUAGCGAGGCGUUGACUACAGAAGAAGCACCGGCUAACUCCGUGCCAGCAGCCGCGGUAAUAC